UUUGGUUGGUUCUGUUCCCUUCUUUUAUCAUUUUUAUCUGAUCAACUGUCUAUACAAAAUAAUCAGUUGGAAGAAGAUGGAAUAAGAAGUCGGACAAUCAGAAGUGUAAGAACUAAAAGGACACCGCAA
ensembl:ncRNA K08E5.11 ncRNA